CACACAUGGCGUUUGCGAUCAUGGAGGCAGUCCAUGGCCGUCGGCCCUUGCGCACCGCCGCGGUCGUCUUCGGGCGACCCGAGGUCGUCGAUUAAGCACUCAUGGAGUUGCGGCUCCACAGCCCCGCCGGUGCCGAGCCGGCGGUCUACCCCUGGCCGCUCUCCACCUCGGACAAGCAUGACGGUGCCAUCGAAAUCGUCGAGACAAUACGCUGGGUCUGUGAGGACUUUCCAGAGCUCAAGGCGGCCAUGGAAAACCACGUCCUCAAUGACUAUGAUACCAAAAGCUAUGAGAGCAUGCGGACCCUGUGUGACAAGUACAACCGGGCAAUCGACAGCUUCUUGCAACUCUGGAAGGGCACGUCACGUCCUGAGCGCCUGCAUACGCGGCCAUCGACGGCACUCCUGCGGCACAUCCUGCAGCAGGUCUACAACACGGCCAUCGUUGAUCCUGAGCGGCUCAACUCUUACGAGCCCUUCUCCCCCGAGGUGUAUGGCGAGACAUCCUUUGAGUUUGUGGCACAGAUGAUCAACGAACUGGCGUUCACACCCGACGAUGUCUUCAUCGACCUGGGCAGCGGUGUGGGCCAGGUGGUUCUGCAAGUCGCAUCCUCUACGCCUUGCAAGAUGUGCAUUGGCAUCGAGAAGGCCGAGGUGCCGUCGCGGUAUGCACAGUCGAUGGACGCGCACUUCCAGUUUUGGAUGCGCUGGUAUGGCAAGACGCACGGGGACUACCGGCUCAUCAAGGGCGACUUCCUCCACGAAGCACACCGGGAUAUGGUCAUGAAUGCCUCGAUUGUUUUUGUCAACAACUUUGCAUUUGGACCAACAGUGGACCACAUGCUGAAGGAGAAGUUUGCCGAGAUGAAGGAUGGCUCACGGAUUGUCUCCUCCAAGGCCUUCUGUCCUCUCAACUUCCGGAUCACGGACAGAAACCUGAGUGACAUUGGAACCAUCAUGCAUGUCAAGGAGAUCCAGCCCCUGAAGGGCUCAGUCUCUUGGACGGGCAAGCCAGUAUCCUACUACCUCCAUGUCAUAGACCGGACAAAGCUUGAGCAGUAUUUUCAACGCCUCAAGAAUCCUAAGCUGAGGGACGACGAUUCAUCAUGCAACUCGUCGCGGAGCCGCCGCAGCAAUGGCCACAGUGGCCACGGGACACGCUCGGCAAAUGGCAGUGUCUGCAACGGCAGUCUGAGCCACGACUCUUCGUCCAAUGACUCGAGGGUUGACGACUGCCUCGUGCUCGGACCCACAACACGCCGGGCCUGGUCCGACUGGUGCAACAAGGGGCCGAUGCCGGGCGCGAAGCAAGGCAGCAGCGUGUCUGCCCUCAGCAGCGGGCACGAGAGCAACGAUGAGAACGAGCCGGUAAAGAGACGACCCAAGGCACCUAGGCGAACACCACGGCGAAAGAAACCAAGCAGGGUGGACUCCGGGGCAUCAUCAGUGGCAUCGGUUGAGGUGCGCAAGGGACCGGGCCGACCAAAGAAAUCGCCCCAGCGUAACAACAGGCGCGUAGGGCGUAAGCCAAUGAAAUUCAGCGGCCUCGAUCUCCUGCAUGCCCAGACGGUGCUGAGCACGUCUAGUGCAGCUGCCAUGCACACAGAGCCUGCUCCUGGCUGUGUUGACCAGAAGCUCGGGGGCCUGGCUCCGGAAGAAGGAUCACUCUCGAGCGAGUUGCCAACCGGCUUCCACGAAGUGACUGUGAAGACCGAGCCACCCACAGAAACCUCCAUGGACAGCAUUGCAGCAGCUGCCAUGACCAACUCCAUGGCUGUGUCUGGCCCACCGCCACGUCCACUGACGCCGUUGGCAGAGCCGCCUGAGCUGAAGGCCAUGCUGAAUGACUUCCGGGCACAGUACAUGGCCAUGUUGAACCACAUGCGGACUGAGCAGUACCGGCAGCAGGUCAAGGAGCACAUUGCCAGGGAGAGGGAGCGCAACGAGAGGCUAGUGGCCAAGGCAGCGCACUUGGAGCGACAGAUCAAGCACCUCAUUGACGACAGCGUGGUCCUGUUGAAGGCGCGCAUGAACGAGCUGGGAGUGCAAAGCCAUACGCCCGCUGACCUUAUCAACAUGUGUCAUCUUCUGAGAGCAAGUGGCAACAGCCAUCGCAGGCUACUUCAGGCAAAAGAAAUUGUGGUGCGCCACAAGGAGUUGCAAUCGAAGGCAGCAACCCUAGAGCGAGAGGUGAUUCACUUGGAGGAGCAGCAGGCGGAACUGCUGGCAAGGCAAGUUCCCAGUGCCAGGGUCCCACCCCCACCCUCCACACCAGGGGUCGCCAACCCUCCUGCUUCAACCGGAGGAGACAGCACCACCACUGCCGCUGUCCCCACCAUCACCACCUCCGCGGCAACUGCGGCAACCACCAACGGCUUUUUUCUGCCCCCCAACCCAGAGGGCCUGAGCCAGCUGUCGCACGAGCACAUUCUGCGUGAGAUCAGCAGCACCUUGUCGCAGCGCCGCAAGCUUCACAACAAAGUCCAGAAGCUGGAAGGUGAAGUGCAGGAGCUGGAGCGCACCCUUGUCUCGCCACCUCCGCGGAGGCCGCCCACACUUGCCUCUCCUUUCACCACAAUGCAACAGCAGCAGCACCUACAACCUUCAGUGCCACUCUCUCUUGCGGGACCAGUCCCCGACAUUGUCUCCGAGCCUGGUGUGAUGCAGCAGGCCGAUAUCAAGCCAGAUGACUUGUCAAACCGAGCGGUUCGUACGGCAACACCACCACCGCCAAAACUGGGACCACAGGCCACUGCCACUUUGCCAGCUGCUGCUUGGUCAUCCUCUUCUGUUUCAGCAAAGGCACCCAUUCAGGAGCCGUCAGCACCGACAGAUUUAAGCAGUGUUGUUUCAGACCGUGGCCCUCCCGACAGUGGGCCACCUAGUGUCAUACAGAGUGCCCCUCCAAAAGAGAAAGGCACCAAGGACAAAAAUAUUGCCGCUUCUGUUCCAAAGAUCGCAGCACCACUGACAUCAACUGCUGAGGAGGCCCCGCCCGAGAGACCACGCCCCCCAGUAAUCCGAAGUGGUAUCAAGGACAUUGUUGAUGCGAGCUGCUUCUCGAUGACCUACUCGCCAGUCACACCUGGGCGGGUCCCAGGCACGCAUACCGAAACCAUGCCAGCUGCUGCACCCUCAGCCGUGGCAACGAAGACCGCGGAUGUGUUGCACACGAUCCGAGAUAAGUCUCCAACAAAGUCAAGCCACCACAAGACAGUAUUGCCUGUGCCACAGCGGACGGCCGCCCCACCAGAGUCACCGGUGCAUUGUGCCACCCAAGAGGAAUUGCCGCCGACGCCAAAGACGCCUGUUGAGGAUUCGUCUGCUAUGAGCAGUAGCAGUGGUGCCGCACACCAGUCGUCACGCAAGAGCAGCUCGCCGUCCAAGUCCAAGCACAGGAAGUCGCCCCGGAAACGGGAGCCCAGCCCUCCGCCGCCACCUCCACCGCCGCCGCCGCCACUGCCGCCGCCGGUGUCUGUGUCACCGUCUCCGCCUCAGCAGCCCAAAAAGAAAGCGGAGCUUGACGAUGCAGCUUCACCAGCGGCAGUGCCGCUGUCAAAACCGUCCAAUGGGCUCAUCUUAAACCUGGGCAGCCUUCUGGCUUCACGAAACGGCUACAGCCCAAAGCGGGAAGACAGAGCAUCGCGAAAGCUCAAACGAAAACACUCGCCGCACAAGCUGCGGGGUACAGAGGCGACGGCGGAGAGCAUCAGGCCUCCCUUGGGGCUUGGCGACAAGACUGUGUGCAUACGGAUGAAGUCAGAAACGGGAGUGGAUGUCGAAGAGAAGUUCACGAUCAAGGCCGAAGCGCUGUCCCGGAGGCCCGAGGGCUCGUCGCACGGCCGCCACCAUUGGCAGGCGCGCGUGAGCAGCGGCUUCGACAAACUGGUCGCACUUGCCUCCUCCAACCAGCAGCCCGAGUCGGUGCCGGCCACAUCACGAAAGGAGCCAGCGGCCACCACCGGUGGGGCCUCGUCGUCCUCCACAUCGUCUUCGUCCUCAUCGUCCUCGUCGGAGCACUGCGAGGCCCCCCGACAGGCAGCUCUGCAGCAGCAGCCGCACAAGAAGUGGGUGGUCGAUAGGGUUCACCGGAAGGACCGCGGAGGGGAGAGCGGCACGCAGCUCGAGAGCCUGUCCAUCAAGAUCAAGGCCGUGAACGCGGGCCCGCCCUCGCCCACGGCCCGCAAGAGGCACCGGAGUCCGCCGGCGCCUUCCCCCUGCUCCUCUUCCUCCAAGAAGGGGGGCGGGCCGACGACGGCCGGCCGUUCUCCGCUGCCCAAGAGGCGGGGCCCGCGCACCCCGCCAGACACGCCCCCUCGGACUCCAUCUGCCUCCCCCGAGCGGCCCGUUACGCCGCGCACGCCGCUGUCACCCACGCCGCCCUCGCACCGUGUCCGCCGCGACGAUGAGCCCCCGCACAGCCCCAUCAGCAGCGUGGACAGCCCGUUCAGCCGGCGCAGCCGGUCCACAAGCCCGCUCCCCGGCAGCCCUGUUGAGGAGGACGACGCCGACGAUGUUGACCGUGCCACGCCACGCAGUGGCACCUCCAGCACCGACGACCCGCCGCACCCGCCGCUUGAUAACACCGUGUAUAACAAGCUAGGGCUCGGCACCCGGGACAUUUCAGUCACCUCCGAGCAACAGCAGGCUUCCUCCGUGGGCAUUGCUCCUGACAAGGACGGUCUCUGGGACUGGGCCAAGGAGCAGCCGGCGGCCACGACAACCCUUCCGGGGGCGCCAUCUCGCUCGGACCCUGCAUCGUCGUACGCCGCCGCUGUGUCGUACGCAGCUGCCAGCCUCGACUCGUCGUCACUGCGGCCACAGGCACCCCUGAUGCUGGUCACGUCGUCCAGUUUGGCCCCACCUCCGAUGCCACCCCCGCUAACGCCGCAGAUGGCAGCGGCCCCUCCUCCCCCACCGCCUCCGCCACCACACUGCUCGCUGCCGCCACCGUUGGUGGCCAACGUGUCGGUGCCGCCGCCCUUCAACAUGCCUCCUCCCCCGCCCCCUCCACGCACAGCACCCGUGUACAACCCGUCGCAGUUGGUGUUGCCGGACACAUCAGUUCCGCCCCCAUUCCUUGGCCCCACCUCCAUGGCGCCUCCCCCGUGCAACUUCACCGUGCCCCCACCCAACAUACUGGCUGCUGCAGCGGCCGGCCAUCCGGCUUCACAGCAUACAGCGGGAACUGAGCCGCCGCCUCAGCACAGGCCCCGCCCCCACUUGGCCCCGCCCCAAUACACGGCAGGGCCUUACACGCUACCCCUGGAGUCGGCUCAGCGAGUGCCCCAUUACGCCGCGCACCCGCCAGGACUGACGCCUCACAAGAUGCCCCAUCCUGGUGAGGCUGCCUCUGCAGUCUGAGUUGAUUUGGCCUCUUUAUUAUGCUAUGCUUAUGCCAUGAAUGCAGCUUACUUGCUUCACUCAGCUUUUAUCUCAAGUACUUUUCACAUCCGGAGAGCCAAAUCUUAGGCCUUAUCACGUUAUCCAACUGUCUGAACUUCUGCCCUGAUCAUUGCAGUUCAGCUUGUGUGACUUCCAGUUGUGCAAAAUGGAAAGUGUAAACUUGACUGGUGCUGUUUGUGUGGAUGCAGUCAUCAUCUGAACAUGCAGCUGUCCACCAUCGUAGUGUGUGGACAAUGUGCUAUGGAAUAGUGCUUUUAAAUAUCCAGUGAAGUUGACUGAAGUGAAAGUGCACACACAGCACUACCUGACUUGACGUCGGCGUCACCGGGGCUCGACCCGCAAGCGGAAACGACGAGAUUCUCACCAUCGCCACCCCCACACUGCCACAGCGCCCGUCAGCGAAGCGACAAGCGCAGAGUCCCUGGGACACAGUUCGGUCGAUGCCUGAUGAUCCUACGUGACAGAAGUGUGUGCAGACGUGUUUGAAACAAUCUUGUUUUGUUCCAUUUUAAAUUUCUGCGGGCCAACGACCGACGCUGGAAAGUGAAGAGGUGAUGGAAGUCAUCGUCGUCGUUCGGUUCCUCGGGUUCCGGAUUUCUCCUCAGAAAGGCGCCGUGUCGUUUUUCUUGUUGUUUAUAUUUUAUGGGGAGGGGAGGAGCACUUUUGUUCUGUUUAGAACAGGGUGUUGCACAUUUAGGUACUGGCCGAUGAAAAGCUCUCGCAUUAAAACUACUGCAUCGCGUUCAUGACAGCCUGUUUUCAGGAAACCAUGUUUCGUGGUGCAUGCUAUUAACUUUUUUGUUCUUUAGUUAUUUAUUCAGCACGAGCUGUUGAUGCAGAGUGAGUUGGUGGUAAGCAAAUGAAAGGAGAAUGCCAUGACCGAUGGCUUACAUAAUAUGGUUUGUAAUUGGCCUCUGAACUACACAUGGUCAUAAGCAUGAAUUGGAAAUAGGCAAUGCUUUUUUUGUUGUUGUUGUCCGUGACCAUUCAGGGGUUCUACCUGAUUGUGCAGCUCCCUGGUCUUUCGUGCCUCUUGUGUCUGAUGUUAGAAUUUAUUGGAGGGUUGCCCGGCACGGUCAAAAGCAUGUUUUACACAGACUUUUUGAACAUGGCCGUGAAAUCGGUCACCAAUUUGUGGACUGCCCACCAUGCUAGGGCUCUUGCAGACCCCAUGGAGUCUCUGAGCUAUGGAGUCUGCAUAUAUGCACCGUUACUUGUGGCACCUGAUUGAAUUGUGUGGCAAACUGGUUUCCAGUGUUUUUUACAGAGCAGCAAGCGCAUUGAAGCUUCUGUGUGCUGUGAAAUUGUUGAGCUUCUGAUACUGGAAUGCUUAUACCAAGCAUAUUUGUGCUGUUUCCAUGGUGGCCUGCUUUUUGAAUCGUGUGCAAAGCUUGUCUAAAUGUUAAGGCCCUCAGUUAUCAGCCGGAAAACAACCCUCCUCUGUGCCGUUUGCUUGUUGUAUUUAUUGCAUUAUUGUUUUCCUGGAGCAUUUCCCCUCCCCUAACCAAAGCGUGCCAUGGAUAGGCACUGUAGCUCAUUAAAGACUGAUCACUGCCACCAACAUUUUUCUUUUUUUUUUUUCAUUUUUGAUGCAAAACUAGUCAGAAGAGUGAAUCGUAGUGUUCUUCCUCUAGUUUGUUCAUGUCCUUACUCUCUGUUUCCCCUUCCCAGCUUUAACUUCUGUGUUUUCCACGUAACAUGGGAGCAGGGAAAUAAAGGUCUUAGUUGUUUUUUUCUUAACUGUUUUGUACACAUUCUUUAAGGAAGCAGUUUGUGCACAGUAGUGCUCGCAAAAGCUGGAUAAUUUCAUGCAAAACGUAAUGUCCCUUUUUGUUUGCAGGGCUAACAGGCUGUGCAUGCUUCCAUGCUUAGCGUUUUUUUUUUUUUUUUUCCAGACUGACAUGCAGACUUAGUGCAGGUGCUAUGAAAGCCAAAAAAAAAUUGCAUCUUUGUAGAUGCUUUCUUGCAAUGUUGCGAAACCAAGAGACCAAAAAUAAGUGAGCCAGUGAGACCAAAGUGUGUUCAUUUGCAUGACUGCUGGUUAGUCCACACGGGACUUUGCCGUCAGCUGUUUGUUGGCUUUGUCUUUCCGGUCUUCCUUCAGUGGCAGACUAGCGGACCUUUUUGUUUAAGUUGGGGUGGCCGAAUUACUGGAAGCUGCUCUAACGCUAAGAAUGGCACCUCCAGGCAGCCUUUUCACAGAGGCAGAGGAGUUCUUACUUUACAGCUUCACGUUUCACAUUUUCGUACGGAACGUAUUUGGAAACCAUACUGCCUGUUCUUUGCUGCACAGUGGCCAAAUUGCAAGUUGCAGAAGUGCUUUUGACUUUUCACGGAAUUUCCAGGCAACUUGGGAGUUUUACUUUUUGGUCUUAACAUAACUUGGCCGUCACGUCUCACACUUAUUACUCCGUUUCAGCUGAGAUUUGGAUGAAAGUAGCAUAGAGGUGCAUGAGAUUGCUUUGAGAGCACUCAGGUUAUAGUUCAGGAGCAUUUGGGUACAGCUAGAGUUUUCGCUAAAGCAACAUUUAAGCAGAGUGUAAUGAGCUUGCCAGCUUUGAAUUGCCUACUAGUUGCCAUUCACAAGCAAUGCUUCGAAACUGCACCUUUCGGCUGAUGACGCUUGCAAGAGAGGGAGUAAACUGUCUCCCGAAUCUUGAGGCCAGUACUGCCUAGAGGAUUGAAGUGUCACGGCAAUUACUAGCGACAAGUUGCACAGCUAAAAGCAAUGCAGAUUACAUCUCUUGGUUUGAAGUCCUGUCUAUUGUUACAUGGCCAAGGUUUCGGAAAGCUUCAGCUGCUUUUAGCUGCUCAUUAAGGAGGAGCCAUUUUUUUCCUCUUUCAUGGUGUGCGAAGGCUCCAAAGAAGCGCAAUCACGGUGUCGGCACCCUUGGCCCUGCUCAAAGAAACCUGCUAAGAUCUAGGCAGCCAGUGCGUUCAAACGUUAAUCAAGACACUCCCCGUGUUUACUUUGGCAGCGUUUCCAACUGUUUCCUAUGCUACGCUGCAAAUUUGUACAUUGUGAUGCCAUACGUGUCUUGGCUGACGUCUCUCUUGUUGUGUUGUGUGCAAAGGUCUCCUCCAGCCAAUUGGCCUCUUUGACAUUGACGAGCUUGCUUCCUCGUGUAUUUAUUUGCCUUUUUCUCUCCAACCUGCUUUUCCUCCGUGCAUCAUUCCACGUCGCCUGGCCAGCAGUUAAUUUUAGAAGCAAAAAGCAAUCACUGCCAGUGUUUGCGUGUGAGAACAUUGUGCACCGUGGUUCUCCCGACACCCUUCGAUUGUGCACUCCAAGAUGCCGAUUGUGAACGAGUGACCUGAAAGACCCUCUUCAAGAAGAUCCCCUCCCUUUCUUUCCGUUACGGUUGUUUGUCUCCUUUGUGUUGCCAAGCAAAGCAAGAGACUUCCCUCUCCGCGGCAGACUAUGAUCUGGCUACAUGUUCCGAUUGCUGCUUUUUUACCAUCGUGUGCUGCAAAACAGGCUUCCUUCCCCUCAAAUCCUCUCUGCCUGCAUUUGUUGUAUGUAACCCCGCUAUGUGUACCUGUGCCGGAAUGCUUCAACUUUUUCAGGGAGUCUGCCUUUUAUACGUGGGAGAAAUAGCGCAGGUUUUGUUUUCUUUGACGCUAGUGUUUGCUCUUUCGAAAUCUAGUGCGAGAGGCAUGCUUGAAGACACUGCUUCUUGUUGGACGUGCAUGCUCUCCUGGCGUUGCAGUUGUGCAGAUUGCUUCCUUCGCUGGUCAAGGUUUAUUCUCGUAGCCGCAUUCUGUUGGGUUGACGCCUUCCUUUCUUUUGUCUGAUCUGUGCAUAUUUUUGUCGGGGACGCGAGUAGUGUCUCGUCGAGGACCCCGCAAACUCACACACCUGAGAAUAAACACUGCCACUUGAUGCAUAGCUUGUACAUUGUCUAUUCAUGCCACGAUGUUGUAAAACAUUACUUUUCUGUGCGUGUGCGUUUUAGCAUCCAUUGUUUUAGGUGAAGGAACUGUGCGAAAGUGCUGUGCUUUGUUGUGGAGGGCUCAUCCUUGUGCACUGUCAGCUGCUAGAAAAGAUGAGCUCGCAAGCUUCUCUUCUGUUGCUCCGGGUCGACUUUAGAGGAGCGUGAGCGGACGCGUGCUUGCUGCUGUGUAUGUGUGCGCAAGUCUCGGCUACAUUGGCAAUCUCUAUUUUCCUGUGGCCGUGUCUACACGCUACCCUUUUCCGAGUGUGCAUAGCUGUAGCAUGACAAGUUUUUUUUCCUUCCUUGCUCUCGUUAAAGUUUUGGUGAUGGAAGAUGGCACAGUAUUGUAUAUAGCAUUUCUAGUGCUGGCGCACGAGAAUCAAGCAGGGAUUAAGUCCCACUUUGCUUUUGGUGAGAGGAAAAUGAUAUGUUGAGAAAGAAGCUUGUAUAUGUACACAUAUUUUUUCCUUCUCUUUGAGGUAAGCCCGUAGUUUGAAGAGGGGACGUUGUGCGUUGGUAUGGCCGCCAAGUAGUUAGGUGUUGUGAUUAAGCUUGCUCGCUAGACUCGUGUUUCCGGUAGCCUCAGUGUAGGAACAGUGCGCAUAUGGUCAUGGAUGAUGUAGGAAACCUAUUUAUAAGGAAGCAAGUAGGCUUGGCCGUCACGCAACAUGUCGGGUCAUGUAUGGUUCGCGGUACGAGAAAAGGUGGUGGGAGUUUCAGCUUGAUAGCAUGCACGCUGUUCGUGUUUACGCCUUAUAUGCGACACCUGGCAUCUUGUGGGAUUCCCCCUACUGCUUCAGAGUUUUGCCAAGCCUGCAUUGUCUGAAUGGCUUUGAAUAAUUGGCUACCAUCUCUUGAUGUAGCCAUAGCUGAUGUGCGUUUCUUGAGGACUGCGUAGUUGGGGCAUCUGGUGUGCUGCCUUGGGUUCUUGUCUAGAAAGUAGAAAAAAAAGGGGGGUUGGAGGAUGGAGCCUGGCAAAAGAAAGCUUUAAUCUGGAAUUCUUAUGACUACUUUUGUACAGCAGCAGUGGCAGCUACCAAAAUAGGGAAGCAUGGUCAUCUGUUGAAAUUUUUACCUGUUAUAUACCUGUCAAGUGGUAGCUUCUGUCCUUUUUGAGUGAAGCUGUGUCAAAAUUAUUGAGCACACUGAAACAUAAUUGAUCCCCCUCAGAAUGUUGAUCCUAGUUGAUAUGCUUGAUCUCCAAGUUCAUUUAAGGUUUCUACUGUUUUGCAUCUAGUAGCCAACUGAGUCAGAGCAUGUCAACAGCAGCCUUCAAGAACACUAGAGGUUUUUAUUCUGAUUGAUGAAGCACUCAAGCAAGAUUGAAGGCACCCAUGUGAUAGGAUAUGGAAGUUUAGCGAAAGUAGCUCCUUUUGGAGUGCUGAAUGGAAUAUGUGAGUAAUAAUUUAACAUAUGCAUUGUUUCAUACUGCAUUCUUUUUCUGUUGCUUAUUGCAACACACUGACAGGAAACCAGUGCUGAAAACAUCUGUACACAGUAGUUUCUAAACCACUGCAGCACACCAUACUCCACUUUUCGAACUCCAUGCAGUACAGUAAAAGCUGUGGGUUGCGUAAACCAACAAGGAGAUUGUCUGCUGUUGAUUGCCCUCUGUGCAGUGCUAACUAAGCAGAAGCAUCAUGGCAGUAUCAGCAUUAAUGGCAGCUGGCUGUCCUGUAGGUUGAUGCAAGCCAUACACUUUACUGUACUGGAUGGAGUAUAUCAGUGUUGAGGCGAAAUGAUGCAAAUGUGUAAAAAACGUCCUCUGUCUUUCCUUAGCAAAAUCGUAGCCAAGCAGGAAUGCGGGUUCUUCCAAACUCAGAUCGGCUGUGGGAAUGACGCGAGGUGCCUGGAGUUCUGCACGCGUAUUAGAGCAGUGAUAUUUCGUGGCUGCAUGGGGUGAGAACACUGUGUGCAUUGUUGCCGACGAGCCCUUGACAGGGCAGACUAAGAUCAUCCUAGCCUGCCAGAUUGCAAGUGCACACAGUGUGGUGUGUUAUGCCUGGUGAUGUUGGAACGUUUGUUGGAGGUGAUCGCCGGAAGUGUUGUUUUAAAUGGGUGUUGUGAGCACAUCCCCUCUGAGCUGCGGCUACAAGGACUUUGUGCGUUGUGGGCAUUCUCAAGGAGCGUCGCUUAUUUAAAUACACCCGUUUUCUUUCCAUUCUUGCUCUUUCGCUCUUAUUUUUCAUGUGUACAGACACCGUUUUUGUUGGGCAUUUUUUGAAGUUGAAGCACAACCUUUUCUUUCUUUUUCUCUGUCUUCACCAAUGUGGUUUACUCGGUAUGUGUAGUGGAUCACAUUCUGUUGCUGGCACUGUAUGGAAAUGCACAACAUUCUCAAUUGCAAAGUGAGUUGGUUGUGGAGGGGGGCUCUCUUUCCUUGUGUGGUGUGUGUUACUUAGCAUGAGAAAGCUUGGCCUCAUUGUGAUGGAACUGUUUCAUUGGCUUUCUUGCGUAACCAAACAUAUAUCAUCAGUGUGACUAUGUCUCAUCGUAGCCUUAGUUCCAGACAGGUGAUGAUGGUGCCGUACACGGCGUGUAUUUUGUGGAGACCCACAAAUUUCUCUUUUUUUUCCGCAUGGAUGAGCCUAGGCGAGAACCGUUUAUAACUUUGUGAAAACCACGGAAGCUUAAAAGAAAGCAUCACAUGUUUCUUCCCCACUGCCCAAGAGUUCUUGUGCCUGCAAUACCAGGCCAACUUAAUUUUAUUUCCAUCACCCUUCAGCAGCCCACGGGGCGCGGAAGAUGUGUACCUGUGUCCAAGAUGUCCACUGCGGUGUGGCGUUGGUGUACCAUUCUUUACUGCCAAAACUGCAACUCCUUGAAUCUGGGAUUGAGUUUGUUUGACUUGAACUCUGAGACUCGGGAGGGAGCUCUUGUGCUUGAGAGCAGGGUACUUGCACAGCCAAAGUUUGUAUUGAAUUGCAGCCUUUUCACCGAUAGCAUUCAGUGGUAAAUGUCAUGCUUCAUUCAGAUGUGUACCUGAGUUUUCAAAGAGCUGCCAAGCAUCACAUCGCUGCACUGUUACCUGCUUACACCUCUUAAGCAUUAACCAUCUAUGUGUUCGUUUUCGACACAAGGCAUCAGUAUUUCUGUAUGUGCAGCAAGUGAAUUCAUAUUCAUGCUGCUUGCUCAUCAACCAUCUUAAUUUAUUCUGUUCAGUAUGACGGCCAAAGCGCGUGAUGCUAUCAACAUACAUGCCUGCUUGUAUGUGGUAGGUUUCCCUUUUUUUUCUCCAUUUGCUAUUGCUCUAAUGACGUUUUUGCCAUUAGACAGAAUGACUGGUGCACCUACAGCAGGUUGAGUUUAGUACAUGCCUCAAUAAAUUGUUCAGGACUUUGUGCGAGUUCAGUUUUUACAUUAUAUAGUGUCUAAGGCAUAAAUGUGUGCUCAGUUGGGUAGUUUAGUUAGGGCACUCUUGCAUUGGAGAAGCCAGUUUAUUAAACUAGUUCUUCAGUGCUAGCACGAUAAAAAAAAGCAAACUACAUAGCUGUAGAAUUGCUCCGUUCAAAAGAGGAAUGUUGCUCCAGAUCAUUUAAGAUUCGAGGUGAGGUAAGGUUAAUGAAUACAUUUUGUAGCGCACUGCCUCUUUUUGUGCUAUUUGUUUUGUAUUUAUUUAGCUGCUAGUUCAAAUGUCUCAUCAUGCCAUACCGCAGUGGACAUAGUGCCACCCGAGGUGCUGCGGUACACUAUUGCUCCCACAGCGUGGGUAACAACUGUGUUCGAGUUUUUUCUUUUUGGUGCACAUACAAGGACACUGCUGUGUCAACGCAUUCUAUCAAGCUGACGCAGAUCAAUUGUGCAGAAUUUGGAAAAUGGCGAUAAUUGACUUUCUUGCAAGUGUGGAACAGAUUUAACGCAAGGAUAAUAGUGUGACGGGUUUACCUUUCUUUUCCUUUUUUCCUAUUGUAUUUUUAGACAGAACACUGAAACUGUUGCAUGUUAACCAGUUUGUUGUUGAUGCUGUGUUUUUCAUUUUAGAGAUAUUUAUAAGCCUGUACAGGAAGCACACACUCUACGACUACUGCCGACAGAAAUCAUUUGUACCAUACCUCAAAAGUGUCUAUUGUAACAAAUGGGAAAAAGAGAAAUCCACACUUCCAACUGUAGCAUUUGGAAUUAAAAACACCCCUCUUUUUAGCAAAA
rnacentral:misc_RNA from 1 species